UGGGGAAUAUUGGACAAUGGGCGAAAGCCUGAUCCAGCCAUGCCGCGUGUGUGAAGAAGGUCUUCGGAUUGUAAAGCACUUUAAGUUUGGAGGAAGGGCAGUAAGCGAAUACCUUGCUGUUUUGACGUUACCGACAGAAUAAGCACCGGCUAACUCUGUGCCAGCAGCCGCGGUAAUACAGAGGGUGCAAGCGUUAAUCGGAAUUACUGGGCGUAAAGCGCGCGUAGGUGGUUCGUUAAGUUGAAUGUGAAAGCCCCGGGCUCAACCUGGGAACUGCAUCCAAAACUGGCGAGCUAGAGUAGGGCAGAGGGUGGUGGAAUUUCCUGUGUAGCGGUGAAAUGCGUAGAUAUAGGAAGGAACACCAGUGGCGAAGGCGACCACCUGGGCUCAUACUGACACUGAGGUACGAAAGCAUGGGGAGCAAACAGG
rnacentral:rRNA from 1 species